AGUUGGUGCCUUUAAUCCUAUUUUUUUAACAUACAGUAGUAUUCGAGAGCUGUAAUUUGUGCUAUAAUUAUUCUUUUGACAUAUGAAAGAGUCUCUAUUCAGAGAUGUCCUGUACUGUUUUUCAAAGUGAAGAGAACCAUUUGUAAAAGGUUUCAGAAGAAAACAUUGCUUUAAAUCUGUUCUGUAGUCUUAGUGCAAGUAUGGAAGGAAGCUUCUUUUCCACUGAAGUAUACAUCAUUGCUGAUACUUUAUGUUGAUACAGGGCAAAAAAUGGCAUUUGCACUAACACUCUUGGAAUCUCUUAAUAGAUAUGUAUUGCAAGGGAUUACGUUACAGCACUUUUAGAUGCAUGGAUACACACCCACUCCUUCAUCUGUCAAUGAAGAUAGUCUUCUGGGUAUUCAUAAUCUCUGCUAGAAGGGUAUGGAAUAUCCAAGUCCUUGGAGAUUGUCCUUAUUGUGCCACAGUGAACAUGCACUAAGAUAUGAGCAACAAGAUACAAUGCAAGGCCAGAAGCAUAGAACUGCUCUCCAAAAUAACAGCACUUUCUCUGGAAACUCAGUUUCUGUGGCAUUUCUGAAGAAUUUUUCCAUCUCUGGAGAUCUGCAGUGAUGCCAUCUGGAGUGCCAUUUACCCUCCUGCAACAUCUAUGCAUCUAAACAUAUUGCAACACUUAGCAAAGCAUUACUGUUGUCAGUGUUUCAAAAACAAACAAACUGACUAGAAAACUCUUCUCGGAGUAACAUAGUUGAUAGGUGGUUGGAAUGCACAUGUGUGUAUAGUUGACCUCUGUAGAAAAGGGUAAAGCAGAACACCAUUUGGCAAAACCUUUCCACAAUGUUGUGCUGGCAGAUGCAUCAUCUGCACUUCUGCUGUGGAGUCCCAUUAAUAAACCUGUAGGUCAAACUGAAAGGAGGGUAAGGUUUAGAAGUACCCAGUCUGAUGGGCUCAAGUAUUAAACAUCCAUAGUAUAACUGUGCCAAUGUGUCAAUACACAUACAAUGACUUUGUUACUUCUAAUUAAUUGUCUAUUUUAAUUUUCUGAAAAAGUCUAACGCUUUACAUACAUUUGUUUUCUUAAAUAUGAUAAAAAUACCUAGAUAUCUGAAGAUGUGUAGAAAAAAGUGUUGAAGGAGAAAAUAAUCCUAUACGAGAGCUUGGUUACCAGAUUGAGUUCAUAAAAGGUAAUUGUAAAAUGCUUAAUUUAAACUACAAGCAUUUCACAUAUAGUAGAGCAUGUUUUAUACAUGAAAAGAUUUUAAAUAGAAAACAUUUAUUGAUAAAGUUAUGAACAAUUUUUUUUUCUCUUAAGUAAUCCUUCCAAGUUGCAGUUACAGCUGUAAUUUUUUUUUUUUUCCCUUACCAGAUACCAUAUCCGGAUGCCAUAACUGCAUUUUGCAGUUAGUAAUUGAAGGUGUAUAUCAAACCAGCACUAGUUUUUUCAGAAAUUCCCAACAAAGAAUUUUGUCUUGAUGUGUAUUUUCAUCCAUAUCCAAAUAUUUUGGUUUUGUGGGUCUACUUAAUUUAUUUGAUCAGUCAUGAAUAAGUAUCCUUUAGUUAAAUUACGAUGUUUAAAACAAAGUUACUGUUGCUUACCUCUCAUGGAAUAAGAUAAGAUGACUAGAAUAUUUCAGUUGGAAGGGACCUACAACAAUCAUCUAGAUAAGGAAUGAAAACUAGGAAAUUAAUCUUUUUGGCUGCAAAAAGUAGCAAGACUGUAACACAUCUUUUCAGUACCACAAGAAAUAAGCCAGUGUGCCAUGUUGUUAUAGGAAGAUUCUAACUAUAUGUUAUAUCUGUGGAAUAAACUGUAAGUGGGCAUUCUUAGGGCUGUAAAUCUCCUAGUAAUAAAUAACUGAUUAGCAUGAAGAAAAUCUUACAGAAUACAUAGUCUUACAGUGGUCUUUUAAAUAAUCCACAGAAUAUGGAAAAUACAUACUUUCUUUUAAAAAAGAGGUUUAAUGGGUUGUUCUGCGGAUGUCAUCUCUUGUUUCAGGUUAGUAAAUUCACAUGUCCAAAGAGAAGCAAGUAGUAUUUCUAAACAGCUUUAUAAUGCAGGUUCCAGCUCAUAGGUAUGAUAACAGUUUAACUGACUUGCAUUGAUGAGUAUGAACAUUAUAUACUGAAUCUCAUGUUUGCAGUUUUAACACCUGUAAGUCUUCCUUAAGUCUACUGCCGCCUUUUGGUGGGACUGGCAGCAGAAGCCCACAUUGUUCAUUGCACUGAGAAUUUUUAAAACCAGGAGUUACUUUCUAUAUAGUUACUCUUUAAUUAUUCAGUCAUAGGUUGGAUUUUUGGGAGGUUUUUUUGAAUGUUUAGUAGCAAAUGCUUUCCUUUGUCAGAAUGCAUGUCUUGUGUAUUGAAGUCAUAGGGGUUUAUUACAUUAAUUACAAGAAAGGAGCAAAAAUGUGUAAUAUAAAUGUCAGAAAUGUAUGUGCUUGUGCCAUAAAACAUCAUUGUAAUGGGGACUAAAAAUAAGUGUGUAUUUUGUAAUUUCCACUUAGUGUUUUAAAAAAAUUGCUUUUGACAACAUUGUAAUCAGGUAAGACUAGACACUUGUGUUCAGUCAGAUAAGGCCUUAUCUACUCAAGAGACUUUGUUCCUGUGAACAUUCAGAAUGUAGAGCUGAUAAAUUAUUAAAGGAGAAUGCUG